UAGCAUGGCACACUGAUAGCGAGAGGUAGGGACUGCGGAGCUAGGGGAGCGCGCUGAGGGUGGAAGCCAGGAGCGAAGCCGCCAGGAGGAUGGAUGCUGCGCUCUAGGGCGAGAGAGUAUUUAUUUUCCAUCUUCAUAUGAGCACAAGCUAAGCAAAACCUGGAAACACAAACCAUAUGAAUCUUAGAACUAGAAAAAACUCCAGUGGUCAUAUGGUCCAACUCAUCUGAGCAAGAAUCCUGUCUACAAGGCGCCUGGAAAGGGGUCAUCCAGUUUUUUUUCCUGGAGACUCCCAUAAGAACAGAAUCCUGAUUGGCUGUUCUACAUCCUAAAGGGGUGGAUUCGUCUAUGAACCUCAUCUCUCAAACCCUGAAAAUGAGUGACUGAUUGGGACAUCAAAGCCAUUUAUUUCUUAGGUGCAAGCCUCAAAUAUGUUUCAGAAUGGCAAGAACAUAACUCCAAGUACCGCAGUUAUUUAAGUGGUGGAACACAACAAGCAAUGAAUUUCUCCGGCAGAAGAGAUUUAUGGCAACAGCUUACAAGAUGCAGUGAAUCCUUUGAAAUCCGUCCCUGUGGACCAAAGUCUGCCCACCCUGCUAACUCUUCAACCCAUCUUUACCCUAAUCUGGCAUUUCCCUUAUUUUCAAGCUUUUUGACAUAGUUUUCUGAUAGAAAAAGGCACAUAAACUGGACCAUGAUUGUAUAAGAUCUCAGCUCUGUGACCAUCUGAGCAAAGAAUUAUUUGUAGUAGGUAUGCAUAUACCGACAGCAUAGCAUUUGACAAAUAAUUGAAUAGAAAAGAACACUUCCUACCUAUCUAUACUUGAGUUUUAAAACAAAAAUGGAGCAGCAAUAAUAAAUUAGUAUCAUUGCUCAUAAUUUAUAUUUUCAUAGCACUUUAAGAUAUGCAAAGUACCUUUUUUCACAACAAUCUGGAAAGGUGGGUAACAAAAGUAUUAUUAUCAUUUCCAUUUCCAGCUGAGGAAACUGGCACUCUGAAAAGUUUAGUGACUUAUCAAAGGUUGCAUAGCUAAGUGUCAGGGCUGAUACAGGGCCAGGCUAAGAUUCAAACCCAGGUCUCUCCUAACUCCAAAUCCAAUUUUCUCUCAAAACACUGCUCAUCAAUGACUGUGCAACAGAAUUAUUAGAAAUUACUUUAGCUACAGCAAACAUUUUAUUUGGUUGCUAACGUGUACAUGCAUAUAUGUGCAGAAAUAUAUGUGUGCACAUGUACAUAUAUGUGUAUAUAAU